rnacentral:rRNA from 1 species
UGGGGAAUUUUGGGCAAUGCCCGCAAGGGUGACCCAGCAACGCCGCGUGGAGGAUGAAUGUCGUAAGAUUGUAAACUCCUGUUAGAGGGGAAGAAUAGUACCGGUUGGACCGGUAUAUGACUGUACCCUCAGAGAAAGCCCCGGCUAACUACGUGCCAGCAGCCGCGGUAAUACGUAGGGGGCAAGCGUUGUCCGGAUUUACUGGGUGUAAAGGGCGCGCAGGCGGGAUAAAAAGUCAGUGGUGAAAUCCUACAGCUUAACUGUAGAACUGCCUUUGAUACCUUUAUUCUUGAGUUCGGGAGAGAGAGACGGAAUUCCAGGUGUAGUGGUGAAAUAAGUAGAUAUCUGGAAGAACACCAGUUGCGAAGGCGGUCUCUUGGUCCGACACUGACGCUGAGGCGCGAAAGCGUGGGGAGCAAACA